rnacentral:rRNA from 1 species
CAAGCGGUGGAGCAUGUGGUUUAAUUCGACGCAACGCGAAGAACCUUACCUGGGCUCGAAAUGUAGUGGAAUCCGGCAGAAACGUCGGCGUCUAGCAAUAGACCGCUAUAUAGGUGCUGCAUGGCUGUCGUCAGCUCGUGUCGUGAGAUGUUGGGUUAAGUCCCGCAACGAGCGCAACCCUUAUCUUCAGUUGCUACCAUUUAGUUGAGCACUCUGACGAAACCGCCUCGGAUAACGGGGAGGAAGGUGGGGAUGACGUCAGGUCCUCAUGGCCUUUAUGUCCAGGGCUACACACGUGCUACAAUGGCCGGUACAAACCGCUGCAAACCCGCGAGGGGGAGCUAAUCGGAAAAAGCCGGCCUCAGUUCGGAUUGGAGUCUGCAACUCGACUCCAUGAAGCUGGAAUCGCUAGUAAUCGUGGAUCAGCAUGCCACGGUGAAUACGUUCCCGGGCCUUGUACACACC